rnacentral:lncRNA from 10 species
GGGCGCGGGACCGAGCGAAACAAACUGCAAGCUGGGUUUCCGCGUCGCCCCGGGCAGGUACUGGAACCAGACGCCCCCACACCUCUAGCCUGCCCAGCAUCCCGUAGGAGCGCUCACCUGCUGGGCUCCGGAGUCGCCUUCCUUCCUCUUCAUUUUGGCAAGGCACAUUUGGCGGGUGCCAAGCCUGGCCGCUCGCUUCUCCGGCCCUCCAGAGCAGCCUCAGGCUUAGCUUCCCGAAUAUCAGCUCCAGUUGGCUGCUUCUCCAGUCCCGAGCCCUUGACCUGGAGGAGGGGACGGGACCGGGGACCUCGGCUGGGAUUUUUACCUGGCAUGGGUCGCCGCGGCUAGGGAGGAAGACCACUUGCUCUCCGUUUCUUUCUGGAAGAAAGCCCCUCACCACCCAGCUGCCGGCCCAACCCUGGACGGACACACAAAUAUCUGUGCUGCCCACAUCCAGCCAACACAGGCAGCAGGAUAUUUCCUCCUAGUCAGACUGGUGCCGUGCCAGAAGCCACACAGCUGAUAAGUGGUGGAUCCAUCUUGAAUUUGACUUCUAGACACUCCCUUUUCAUAGGACAGUGGGAGUUUAAUCAUGGACAACAAUUCUUCUUCAGAUUAGAACUUAAUUGGAGGACAGAUUGGCAGCUCAGCCGACCUUACUGUCAUCGCCAUUAGCCAAAUAAAGAUAAACCUUGACACUGCCAGUUUCCUCAAUAUUCUCAUGCAUUCAUUUCUUGGAAUU